AGAGGGUGCAAGCGUUAAUCGGAUUUACUGGGCGUAAAGCGCGCGUAGGUGGCCAAUUAAGUCAAAUGUGAAAUCCCCGAGCUUAACUUGGGAAUUGCAUUCGAUACUGGUUGGCUAGAGUAUGGGAGAGGAUGGUAGAAUUCCAGGUGUAGCGGUGAAAUGCGUAGAGAUCUGGAGGAAUACCGAUGGCGAAGGCAGCCAUCUGGCCUAAUACUGACACUGAGGUGCGAAAGCAUGGGGAGCAAAC
rnacentral:rRNA from 1 species